GGGGUUGUGGCUCAGUGAUAGAGUGCUCACCUAGCACGCUUGAAGCACUAAGUUCGAUCCUUAGCACCACA
rnacentral:tRNA from 1 species